ACAGACUCACAGACAGGUCAAAAACAAUAUACCCCCGAUCAUUCGAUCCGGGGGCAUAAAAAUUCUUAGAAAAGAACUUUACAAAAUAAUUGAAUUACAAAUGAAACUAACAGAGCAUACAGCAUAUUUGUUAUGCAUCCCUAUCAGACAUUUAAACAGUUUUGGAUAGAUUCAUAUUAAACAGAUAACUUUUAACAUUUUGCUACAUGAGUGAGUAUAAAUGAUUCACAAGAGUUCUCAUAUUUGAAAGAUUACCGUAAGCAAUUUAACCAAUUUAAACCUAUUUUACCUGUUUUCCAAUGAUUCCUGAGUUGCACAGUUCAUGGACUCACGUUUGUACCUUCAGCUUGAGGAGCUGCCCGUUGCUAGGGAGCAGAUCAUCAGCAUGUAGCAGGAGAACAUGGAGGCCAUCAUCAGCAUGAAGACAGACCAUGAGAAAGUCCUUCAUGACCGGUGAGUUUGAUGAGGAAGUACGACAAGAAAACGAGCCAACAAGCGCCUGUCAAUGGAUUACGAGGAGCUAAUGUGGAAACUGUCAGAAUCAUUCAUCGAUACUGACCUGGGAACCAUGGAGUUGUACCAGAAAAUGGGAAUGUUCCCCACCGUAAACCUGACUUAACCUGGCCUUGGUAGCAAGUUCAGCUGGGAACCAUGGAGUUGUACCAGAACAUGGGAAUUUUCCCCACCGUAAACCUGACUUAACCUGGCCUUGGUAGCAAGUUCAGCUGGGAACCAUGGAGUUGUACCAGAAAAUGGGAAUGUUCCCCACCGUUAACCUGACUUAACCUGGCCUUGGUAGCAAGUUCAGAACACCGUCUAGUUCGUUAAGCAGUCCCUCCAAAUGUCCUGCCACCAGAAGGACUUUGUCCUCGAGUGCAGACGAUCGGGAAGAGAAAAUUAUUUAAUAGACGAAAUGAAGCAGAGGGCCACUAGUCCUCUUGCAAAGCAAAGUGUGCAAAACCCACUCACGAAAUCGUAGUCAUCGGUUGAAGGUUCUCUGUCGAGUUCGCCCUCACGCUCGAAUGGUCGUUAUGGCACCGCCAUGUCCCAGUUCUGGUGUGUUGACAUGGAAAAGGACGAGAACCAAUCUAAAACAGCAGUCAGCAAGAUUCAUAUAAGUGAAUCCAACACAGAUAAAGCGUCUCAUGGGAAGUCAGUUUCUCAUAAAGUAAGUGAUAGAUUGAGAACUGAGCAAGUUUCUGUUUCAAAAAUGGAAACUGAUAAUUCCAAUUACAACAGUGUUAACGGCGAUGACCAGACGUCAUUUGAGUCUGAACUCGUCAAGUUCAAGAGUGGAGAAUCACCACAAAAAUCAGAACCAAAGGCUUAACAAGUAAUGGGGCCAUUGUCGGAGAGUGACCAUUUGUUCAACGAAAAUGUCUGUGCGAUGAAUAAUAAACAUGCCAAUGCUGAUUCCGAUACAAAUUAUUCUACCUCUUUCAUAACAUCAUUCGACACACUUCGAUCUAAAACUCUUUCCUGCCAACCUUAAAAUCUGCCAGUAAAGAUUGAAGAAGAGAAUGACACAGGAUCAGCACGACGUAGAGGUCACACAGAAACCACAGUGUGAUCUUUUUGUAAUGAACAAACUUUUCGUUUAAGUAGUUAAAUAUUUGUGUUAAAAAGCAAUUUACUGCAAAAAUUAUUAUCCUCGCCCUCCGAUUUGGGAUCCGAACAGUUCACUAGUUGGAAUUUUGAUUUGACCCUUGGGUGAAAAGCUUCUGCGUUUUAAAAGGGUCGGUCGCGGCCGCGCCAUUUCUAAUUUUCAUUCGUAAGCAUCAAAUUGUAAGUGGUGGGGGUGUUCUGAAAAAUCAAAAUUUUGUUUACAUGAAAAUUAUAGGUAAUCUUGAUUGGAAAAACAACUUUCGAAUGUGUGUCAGUCAGUCAUUCGUACAUUCGGGUGGCGGAUCAAAUUAUUUUGCUUAGUUUUCAAUGAAGCUUUAUUGCACUUGAAUAAAUGCAUAGAGGUUAAGCACACAUUGUAAUCUUACAAUUUCAUAUUUUGUAUUUGUUUCCUUGUGAUUAUGUUACAUAAGAAAGAUUUUUAUUUAUUUGGCUUCAUAACGUUCUAUUGAUUGUGUGCAUAACUACUGACCAGACUGCAGGAGUGCGCAGGCAUCUUCACAUGAUACCUCUUACAUAACCUUGGAUUGCCUGUCAAACUUGGAUGGUCUUUUUUAUUUAUAAACACAGACUAUUUAUACUAGUUAAUACUCCCAAUCACCAAAAUGAAGAAUUUUAUAUAAUACACAUGCUUACCCAUCACAGGCCCAAAUUAUAUCCAAAGUUUAGAUAUGGGGGUUACAUGUUGCUUACUGUUGUUAGAUAAUUUUCCAAAUAUAUCUAUCAAUCACAAGAAGUUCCCCGUCCCAAAACAAAAAAAGCAUGAUUUGCAAUUUUGAAGUUACGAUAAGUCCCAUCUACAUUGUAUUCACCAUUGUAUUAACAGGAACUUGUAGUUAAAAGUUGUAGACGGCAAACAAUCCCUCCUUGGUACUUGUUCUGGAGGAGUAAGCAUGAAAGAUUAUUCAAUCCCUCCUUGGUACUUGUUCUGGAGGAGUAAGCAUGAAAGAUUAUUCAAUCCCUCCUUGGUACUUGUUCUGGAGGAGUAAGCAUGAAAGAUUAUUCAAUCCCUCCUUGGUACUUGUUCUGGAGGAGUAAGCAUGAAAGAUUAUUCAGAUUUUCAUUUUCAAUGGGACCAAUAUUUUAAUUGUUUUAUUUCUCUUUAAUAUAUAUAUUUAUAUUUAUGUGGCAUGUUUGAUUAUUGUUCCAAUAUAAAUUGUACCUAACAGGUGUAAUUAAGGUUACAAUACCUGUGAUGUUAUAAGGUUUGUUUUUUGUCGAGCCGUAAGUGUGAGUUUAUUUUAAAAAAAAACACUUUAUAUGAAUUACCUGGAAAACUGUGUAUAAGGAUAAUGUCUAUGAUACAAGUGUCUAGAGUCAUUUGUCAAGUUAUUUGCCACUUUGAUUUAAAUAUAACCAAGUGGGAAUUGAAAUCCUAACAACAUCUUUUUGUAUCUUGUUUAUAAAAAUCGUGUGUUUCUUUUGUAACAUAUUUGUAAUGCGUAGUAAACUGUAAUAGAUGGAUUGGUAUUUCGUGUGAAUGUUUCUUUUAUCUGUGCUGUCAGUGUCUGUAUUGAAUAUGCCUUAUUCACAUCCACGAGUGCUUUUGUGUUCCAGUCUAUUUUGCAUUUUGAUUUAUGUUCUGUGUUGUUUCAAACUACAAAUUGAAUAUGGUUAUACAAUUUCUAGUUUAAAUUAUUUAUAUUUUGAAGUUUGUGAACAAUGGCAUUUGUAUUGUUUAACUUGAAAAUGUAUUUAAGUCCCCGUAAUAUACUAUAUAUAUGCAAAUAAGUGUUUUCAGUUAUUUUCCAUCGUAAUUGUACGUGUAAAUAUUUAAUGAUGGAAUAUAAGUUGGAACUGCCUUGUUCCACUUUUUGUUAGGCUUACCUGGACAAUUGAAUGCGCGACAUCUAUUACGCAGUAUUUUGUUGACACAAUUUUUGCUCCAGUUGCAAAGCUGCCUAUAUGACUGCAUCUCUACUUGCCUUAACUCUUGUAUAAAUGCUGUCAGUGAAAGUACAAAAUUAAAAACAUGGAGAAAAACACAUAUAAUAGAUUCUUAAACGUUAAAGGGAACAAAAUAAGAAUUACAUGUUUUGCCUGUUGAUAUUAAGGAUUUUGUAUGAACUGAACAAUUAGCAUAAACUUUUAUUUGUUAUUCAGGCUGUAAUAUUUGUUUGCUUUUAGCUUGACUUUCAAAGUAAAUGUAAGCUUUCAAUCUCACCAUGUUGCCAAUAUCUGAUUAUUGUGCCCUCUUGUUAUGAGAGGGAGGGAAAUAGAAUAGCCAAUGCUCUUCCAGUUGUACCACUUUUUUGUGUCAUACGUAACUCAAAAACGUGUGCUAGAGAGAUAAAUCUUUGCAAAUAUACUAACUACAAUAUAAACUAGGCAUCUCAAUAUGUGAGUUCUAAUGCGUGUGACAUAACCUGAGUUGAUGGACCUUGCUCAGAAAAUUUGUUUUUUAACUGGCGUUGUGCUGUCAGAAGGCUGUAUGCAUAUUUAUCACCAUAAUUAUGAACUUGUGCAUCUUCAUAUUUUCAUGAGCAGCUUUUGACACAAGUGAUGAAAAAUUAUAUUAAAUUUGGUUAACUUGUGUUAUGUAAAGCUUACAAAUUAUUGCUGCUAGAGGACGAAAUUGUCAAAACAUUUAAACCAACUUGUGAAUUUGCACCCCUCCAUAUUUUGUUUCAGAUGUAUUACACACAACCAGAGUUGUAGGCCCUUUUUAACCCUUUCCUACACAGAAGAAAAAAGAAAUAGGCUAUGUGCAAACAGCAUAAAACCAGAACAGCCUGUGAGUAACUGGCAGUCAGUUCAGGCUUUAUGCUGUUAGCUGCUCAUCAGUGCCUAUUUGUUGGCAAUGAAGUCUUUAACACUUGAAUCUAGUAAGAAAUGUUUUUAAUUACAUUUAACAACAAAUGCAUCAAAUACGUAUCUCAGUGGUAAAGGGUUAAGGAAAACAAAUAACUACAUAUUAACCAGCGUGCAAACUUGCGGACCUCCGUAUUUUGGUUCUUUUUUUCUACAGAAUGUGAGUUUUAAUUAAGAUUAAAGCAGAAUGAAAGAGAAUCAGGGUCAAGCGCACUCAUUUCUAGUUUUUCAAAAGUAUUGUACUUGAAAAUAACAGAAGUUAUAAUCAUGAAAUUUGAAUAUUACUUCAUCAUCAACUGGUGCAUUAAUUUGAUUUAAACUAACAGGUAGAUGUCUUAAGAAAUGUAUUAAGGUUUCGUAGAUGGGGCUUUAUAAUUAAGCAACCAGGUUUGAAGUGUGGAUAAAGUGUUUGUUAUAAAGUUCAACUGAGGCAUGUCCUGUGAAACCAGAUUUCAUUCUAGUGCUCAAAGUGCCAUCCUAGAUGGCUGUGUGUAGUCUGCAAUGGGUUAUCUGGUAUUACACUUUAUGAUAUAAUGUGUUAAAGCUGCUACAAAUAAGUUUCUUCUACACCUGAAUUGACUGAAGGCAUGAUGGCAAUACCGAAAUGGGGAAGACAUGCUUGGAAGAUAACCGGAUUUCCCAACACUUCUAAUACAUACGUAUCUAUAUGGUUGCCAGGUGUUCAAUAAAUGUACAGUUGUAAUUAAUUCAGAUUAUGCACUUGAGAUUUGAAAUGAGAAUAGUAACCGUUUAUUUAUUAAGUUUCAUUGAUUAGAAAUCGAUGUUGUCAGUUUCUUUUUCAAUUUGCAUAUUGAAGUAUAUUAAAAGUUGUCCAAAAA